AUUGAGCGCUGGCGGCAUGCCUUACACAUGCAAGUCGAGCGCGAAAGGGGGCAACCCCGAGUAGAGCGGCGGACGGGUGAGUAACGCAUCGGAACGUGCCCAGUAGUGGGGGACAACCUCGAGAAAUCGAGGCUAAUACCGCAUACGACCCACGGGUGAAAGCGGGGGACCGCAAGGCCUCGCGCUAUUGGAGCGGCCGAUGUCCGAUUAGCUAGUUGGCGGGGUAAGAGCCCACCAAGGCGACGAUCGGUAGCUGGUCUGAGAGGACGACCAGCCACACUGGGACUGAGACACGGGCCCAGACUCCUACGGGAGGCAGCAGUGGGGAAUUUUGGACAAUGGGGGCAACCCUGAUCCAGCCAUGCCGCGUGCGGGAAGAAGGCCU
rnacentral:rRNA from 1 species